AUACUCUGUUUUUUUCUUUGGAUCAUAUAAAUCUUUCACUUUUUACUAAAGAUUUCCAUGGAGAAGAACAGACAUGAGUGUUGAGGAAUUUUCUGAGGCUCCAUUUCUUUUCU